UAGGGGCGUCAGGUUCGGCUCCCCUCCCCGAGCGCAGGGUAACUCUUAAGGUGGAGGGGAC
rnacentral:ncRNA from 1 species